GAUGAACGCUGGCGGCGUGCUUAAUACAUGCAAGUCGAACGGAAAGGCCCUGCUCUUGUGGGGCGCUCGAUUGGCGAACGGGUGAGUAACACGCGAGUAACCUGUCCUUGUCUUUGGGAUAACUUCAGGAAACUGGGGCUAAUACCGGAUAGGAUCUCCUGCUGCACGGGGGGGGAUGGAAAGUUUCGGCGGUGGGGGCUGGUCUGGCGGGUUAUCGGCUUGUUGGGGGGGUAGUGGCUUACCAAGGGUUUGACGGGUAGCCGGCCUGAGAGGGUGACCGGCCACAUGGGGACUGAGGUACGGCCCAGACUGCUACGGGAGGCAGCAGUGGGGAAUAUUGCGCAAUGAGCGGAAGCCUGAUGCGGCAACGCCGGGUGCGGGAUGACGGCCUUCGGGUUGUAAACCGCUUUCGCAUGUGACAAAGCGUGAGUGACGGUAAUGAGUAAAGAAGCACCGGCUAACUACGUG
rnacentral:rRNA from 1 species